rnacentral:rRNA from 1 species
GAUCAUGGCUCAGGACGAACGCUGGCGGCGUGCCUAAUACAUGCAAGUAGAACGCUGAAGGAGGAGCUUGCUUCUCUGGAUGAGUUGCGAACGGGUGAGUAACGCGUAGGUAACCUGCCCGGUAGCGGGGGAUAACUAUUGGAAACGAUAGCUAAUACCGCAUAAUAGCAGUUAUUGCAUGAUAACUGUUUGAAAGGUGCAAUUGCACCACUACCAGAUGGACCUGCGUUG